AUGGGUCUCACCGGGACCCUGCCCACCUCCCUGUCCUCCCUCACCGCGCUCAAGGAGUUGCAUCUCCAGGGCAACGCACUACACGGCGACUUCCCAUCGCUCGCCGGCUGCACCGACCUCACCCGCCUUGUGCUCGACGGCAAUGGGUUUACCUCCCUCCCAAGUGACUUCCUCAAAGACCUGCCCUCCCUGCAAUACCUCAGCCUGGAGGACCUGCCACUCAAGCCGUGGUCCGUCCCUGACGCCAUUGUCGGCUCCUCCUUACUCGAAACCUUCUCCGCCUCCAAUGCCUCCAUUGCGGGUGCCUUCCCAGCGGUUCUCGCCAACCUGUCAUCGUUGAGGUCUCUGCGGCUGUCAUAUAAUAACCUCACUGGUGGACUCCCUGCCGGGCUGGCUGAGCUGAUUGCCCUAGAGAGUCUGCAGCUGAACAACCAGAUGUCGGAUGGGAAGCUGUCAGGGUCUAUUGCUGUUGUUGCUGCAAUGAAGAACCUAAGGCUGCUGUGGAUCCAGUCUAAUAAAUUCACGGGCCCAAUCCCGGAUUUUAGCAACUCACAGCUAGAGGCGUUCAAUGUCAGGGACAAUAGGCUUACUGGUGUGGUGCCAGCCUCACUCUAUGAGAUCAAGACACUGCGUAAUGUGUCACUGACUAAUAAUCUUUUUCAGGGGCCGAUGCCUGAUUUUCGUGGUGUAAAUGUAGACCUCGCUGCUGACACCGUGAGCAGGUUCUGUCAGUCAAGGCCUGGGCCAUGUGAUCAGCUGGUUACAACUCUGCUUGCGGUGGCCGCAGGGUUUGGAUACCCAGCUGAACUUGCGGAAACGUGGAAUGGGAACACACCAUGUGGUAAUUGGAUUGGUGUUGUAUGCUCAAAUGGGGAUGUUAGCAUUUUUGAUUUGCACAAUCGUGGUUUGUCAGGGACGAUAUCGCCGGCUAUUGCAAACCUGACUAGUGUUGGAAAGCUAGAUCUCUCAAAUAAUCACCUCACUGGGGUGAUACCCGAUACUCUGACGACAAUGUCAAACCUGAAAAUUUUCAUUGUCUCAAAUAAUAGCCUUGAUGGUGAACUGCCCAAGUUUAAGCCUUCAGUCAAGGUACUGGCCAACGGAAACCAGUUUGGGAAAUCAGAUAGUGGUUCCCAGAAUGUUUCCGCAGGUGCACUGAAAUGGAAAUCGGAUGCUGGCAUGAUUAUUGGAAUUCUUGUAGCUGUGGUUCUUCUUGUUAUCAUUGUUGGGCUUUUGGUACAUCAUCGGAGGAAGAAGAAUGCAGAGAAGUUCAGGCCAGUCUCAUCAAAGGGGUCUGCUGAUGAAUCUGAGAUGAUGAAGAUUCAGGUGGUUGAAACAAAUUGGAGUGUCAAUGGACAUACUGCAGUUCCAGCUGAUUACAGCCAGGUGAGUGCUGGUAGCGCAAACAUUACUCAUCUGUUUGAGUCCCACGGAAUGCAAUUGCCUAUUGAAGUGCUGCUAAAGGCCACAGACAGCUUUAAUGAGGACUGUAUUUUAGGUAAAGGGGGGUUUGGGGUGGUCUUCAAGGGGAACCUCAAUGGGAGGUUGGUUGCUGUGAAGAGGUGUGACAGUGGCACUAUGGGGACUAAAGGGCAGCAAGAGUUCAUGGCUGAGAUUGAUGUGCUUACGAAAGUAAGGCAUCGACACUUGGUUGGACUACUUGGGUACUGUACCCAUGGCUAUGAGAGGCUCCUGGUCUAUGAGUAUAUGUCUGGUGGAACAUUGCGUGAGCACCUAUGUGAUCUUCAGCGGAGUGGUUAUACUCCUCUUACAUGGACACAGAGAAUGACAAUAGCUUUGGAUGUUGCGAGGGGGAUAGAAUAUUUGCAUGGCUUGGCACAGGAGACUUUCAUCCAUAGGGAUCUGAAGCCUUCCAAUAUACUGCUGGACCAGGAUUUAAGAGCCAAGGUAUCAGACUUUGGGUUGGUCAAGCUUGCUAAUGACGCAGACAAAUCAAUGAUGACAAGGGUGGCAGGGACAUUUGGAUACCUUGCGCCUGAAUACGCUAGUAUGUGCAUUUCUCAUUACUUAUCUUUCAUUCUCAGACCAAUCUGUAUUUGUCUUGCACAAGUUUCUUGUAUCACAUCCAUGUUACUCUUUUUCGGGAGUGACAUCACUCUCUGCUUGUUUUUUGUUCGAAUAACAUUCUGUUCUCUUUGCUAG
rnacentral:rRNA from 1 species